rfam:Ophiocordyceps unilateralis strain SC16a Contig_447, whole genome shotgun sequence.
GCGUCAUUGGUCUAGGGGUUAGGAUUCAACUCUUCCAAAGUUGAGGCCCGGAUUCGAGUUCCGGAUGACGCA